rnacentral:rRNA from 1 species
AUACGGAGGGUCCGAGCGUUAUCCGGAAUUAUUGGGUUUAAAGGGUCCGUAGGCGGAUGAUUAAGUCAGGGGUGAAAGUUUGCAGCUCAACUGUAAAAUUGCCUUUGAUACUGGUUAUCUUGAGUUGUAUUGAAGUAGGCGGAAUAUGUAGUGUAGCGGUGAAAUGCAUAGAUAUUACAUAGAACACCAAUUGCGAAGGCAGCUUACUAAGUACUAACUGACGCUGAUGGACGAAAGCGUGGGUAGCGAACAGGAUUAGAUACCCUGGUAGUCCACGCCGUAAACGAUGGAUACUAGCUGUUCGGGGCCUUGAGCUCUGAGCGGCUAAGCGAAAGUGAUAAGUAUCCCACCUGGGGAGUACGUUCGCAAGAAUGAAACUCAAAGGAAUUGACGGGGGCCCGCACAAGCGGUGGAGCAUGUGGUUUAAUUCGAUGAUACGCGAGGAACCUUACCAGGGCUUAAAUGUAGUCUGACAGCUUUAGAGAUAGAGUUUUCUUCGGACAGAUUACAAGGUGCU